rnacentral:lncRNA from 1 species
UGGGUGCUGGGCUGCCGCUGGAACGGGCCUGGGCUGGCCUGCUGCAGAUUUUUUCUUCUCUUUUUUGAUAAACUUGUUGGGUUUGGGCUACUAAAAUUAUUGGGCUGCUACUUUUGUUCUUUUUUAUUGUUUUUUUUCCUUUUUCUUUCUCCUUUCUUCUUCUUCUUACCUUUACUUUUUCUUUCCGUUGAGCCCAGCUGCCGCUUCUCCUCUGUUGUCCACUGCCACCGUCGACUCCUCCGUUCGGUGGUGCUAGUCUCGGCGUUCUCUCCUCUUCUUUUCUCCUCCCUUUUUCUCUUCUUUCUCUUAUCUUCUCCCUUUGGCUUUCUCUCUUUUCUUCUCUUCUCCCCUUUCUUUUUCUUUCUCUUUCAAAAGCCCAGAAAUUAGAAGCGACGCCGCCCCUUUAAUCCGCCGUUCGUUACUCGAUCCUCCUCAGCCUUAAGUGGCCGUGGUAAAGGGUCGGGAUCUCUUGCUAUAUUUGUUUUUUUUUUGCCCUUUUUUACUCUUUUCUUUGCUUUUGGUUGCUUGUGGAUUGUUGAGUUUGGUUUGUUUCUUUGUGAUGAUGAAUGAGGAAUGUGGAUGGGGACAUGGGGAGAAUCGGCUAAAUCUUAGAAAUUUCAAAGCUUUUUUCUCUGUUUUUUUUCAUUUUUUCUUUUUAAAAGCUCCAAAUUUUGUCCUCUUUCUCAUUGUUUGCAGGUGGCAGAGGAGCCAUGAUGGCCUAGGGGGGCUGCUGGAGUAGCUCGGUUGGGAGGGGUACGCUCGGCUGCUGCUGCGGCGAUUAGACAAGUCCAGAAGGACUAAAU